rnacentral:tmRNA from 1 species
GGGCCUAUAUAGGUCUUGCCCGUUUUGGCGGGAUAUGGCGAUAAAGUGCGCCGUGUAAUAGGUACAGCGGACCCGGGGGCAGUACCCGGCGGCUCCACCACAAUAUGCUGGGAAACCAGCAUUUUCUGACGGGGCCGAACCAGGAUCGACGUGUGCUGAAAGACGGUGUUUUUGCUCGGGCUGAGUACCCCGUAAAACUGUUCAAAACACACAAGUGCCAACGAUAACGAAGCACUCGCUAUCGCUGCGUAAUUUUACGUCCUAACGGACUGAAUUUACAAAGCCUAAGCGCGGUUGGACCCACCGGGCAACAGAA